rnacentral:rRNA from 1 species
AUUGAACGCUGGCGGCAGGCUUAACACAUGCAAGUCGAGCGAGCGGCGGACGGGUGAGUAAUGUCUGGGAACCUGACUGAUGGACGCGGCUAACUCCUGGAAACGGUUGCUAAUACCGCAUACCAUCAGAUGUGCCCAGAUGGGAUUAGGUAGUAGCUGGGGUAAUGGGUCAACAAGGCUACGAUCCCUAGCUGGUCUGAGAGGAUGCCCAGCCACACGGGAACUGUGAAACGGUCCAGACUCCGACGGGAGGCAGCAUUGGGGAAUAUUGUGACAUGGAGGAAAGGCUGAUGGAGCCAUGCAGCGUGAGUCAAGAAGGGCUUCGGAGUGUAAAGCACUUUUAGCGAGGAAGCGGUAAUCGCAGAAGAAUCAACGGCUAACUCCGUGCCAGCCGCCGCGGUAAUAC